AGAUUGAACGCUGGCGGCAUGCCUAACACAUGCAAGUCGAACGGGAGUAGCAAUACUCUAGUGGCGGACGGGUGAGGAAUACGUAGGAAUUUGCCCUUAAGUGGGGGAUAACCCGGGGAAACCCGGAUUAAUACCGCAUGACCUCGAAAGAGCAAAGUGGGGGAUCGCAAGACCUCACGCUUUUGGAGAAGCCUACGUCGGAUUAGCUAGUUGUGAGGUAAUGGCUCACCAAGGCGACGAUCCGUAACUGGUCUGAGAGGAUGAUCAGUCACACCGGACUGAGACACGGUCCGACUCCUACGGG
rnacentral:rRNA from 1 species